UGCAGCCGCCGCGGUAAUACGUAGGUGGCAAGCGUUAUCCGGAAUUAUUGGGCGUAAAGCGCGCGUAGGCGGUUUUUAAGUCUGAUGUGAAAGCCCACGGCUCAACCGUGGAGGGUCAUUGGAAACUGGAAAACUUGAGUGCGGAAGAGGAAAGUGGAAUUCCAUGUGUAGCGGUGAAAUGCGCAGAGAUAUGGAGGAACACCAGUGGCGAAGGCGACUUUCUGGUCUGUAACUGACGCUGAUGUGCGAAAGCGUGGGGAUCAAACAGGAUUAGAUACCCUGGUAGUCAAGGGCG
rnacentral:rRNA from 1 species